rnacentral:rRNA from 1 species
UGGGGAAUAUUGGACAAUGGGGGAAACCCUGAUCCAGCCAUGCCGCGUGAGUGAUGAAGGCCUUAGGGUUGUAAAGCUCUUUUACCAGGGAUGAUAAUGACAGUACCUGGAGAAUAAGCUCCGGCUAACUGCGUGCCAGCAGCCGCGGUAAUACGGAGGGAGCUAGCGUUGUUCGGAAUUACUGGGCGUAAAGCGCGCGUAGGCGGCUUUGUAAGUCGGAUGUGAAAGCCCCGGGCUUAACCUGGGAAUUGCAUUCGAUACUGCAGAACUAGAGUAUGGUAGAGGGAAGUGGAAUUUCCGGUGUAGCGGUGAAAUGCGUAGAUAUCGGAAGGAACACCAGUGGCGAAGGCGACUUCCUGGGCCAAUACUGACGCUGAGGUGCGAAAGCGUGGGGAGCAAACAGGAUUAGAUACCCGCGUAGUCC